rnacentral:rRNA from 1 species
CAUGGAGGGUGAGAAUCCCGUUCAUGGUUAAUCUUAAGGAAGCUCUACGAUACGUUUUCCAAGAGUCGAGUUGUUUGGGAUUGCAGCUCAAAAUGGGAGGUAAAUUUCUCCUAAGGCUAAAUAUUGGCGAGAGACCGAUAGCGAACAAGUACCGUGAGGGAAAGAUGAAAAGAACUUUGAAAAGAGAGUUAAACAGUACGUGAAAUUGUUGAAAGGGAAACGAUUGAAGUCAGUCAUACCAACGGGAAAUCAACCUUUUGAGCUCGGUCUCGUGGGUUUUGAAGAGUUUCAAAGCCUUCGGAUUCGCGGGAUUGGGAUCUCUUGGCGUACUUUCUCGUACGGUUAGUCAACAUCGGUUUUGAAUGUCAUAAAAUGACUGGAGGAAUGUAGCUUCGAUCUCGUAUUGAAGUGUUAUAGCCUUUGGUUGAUGUGAUGUUUGAGACCGAGGAUUGCAACGGAUACCCUUCAGGGCUAUUCGUCUGAUCUCUGAUACGUUGCCCUGAUGUUGAAAGCUUGCUUAUGAUGUUAGGGUAUUACGGUCAAAAGGUUAGAACGAAUUACAUUCGUUAAGGAUGUUGACGUAAUGG